rnacentral:rRNA from 1 species
CAGGGAAUCUUGCGCAAUGGGCGAAAGCCUUACGCAGCGACACCGCGUGGGGGAUGAAGGCCUUCGGGUUGUAAACCCCUUUCAGGAGGGAAGAAAUUGACGGUACCUCCAAAAGAAGGCCCGGCCAACUACGUGCCAGCAGCCGCGGUAAUACGUAGGGGCCUAGCGUUGUCCGGAAUUAUUGGGCGUAAAGAGCUCGUAGGCGGCCCACCAAGUCGGAUGUGAAAUCUCAAGGCUUAACCUUGAAAUUGCAUCCGAUACUGAUGGGCUUGAGGCAGGUAGGGGAAGGUGGAAUUCCUGGUGUAGCGGUGAAAUGCGCAGAUAUCAGGAGGAACACCGGUGGCGAAGGCGGCCUUCUGGGCCUGUACUGACGCUGAGGAGCGAAAGCGUGGGGAGCAAACAGGAUUAGAUACCCCGGUAGUCC